GGGAAUUUUCCGCAAUGGGCGAAAGCCUGACGGAGCAACGCCGCGUGAGGGAAGACGGCUCGUGGGUUGUAAACCUCUUUUCUCAGGGAAGAAGCACUGACGGUACCUGAGGAAUCAGCAUCGGCUAACUCCGUGCCAGCAGCCGCGGUAAUACGGAGGAUGCAAGCGUUAUCCGGAAUUAUUGGGCGUAAAGCGUCCGUAGGCGGUUUUACAAGUCUGCUGUUAAAGCGUGCAGCUUAACUGCAUAUCGGCAGUGGAAACUGUAAGACUAGAGUGUAGUAGGGGUAGAGGGAAUUCCCAGUGUAGCGUUGUAAUCAGUGGGUUUAGGGACGCCCAGUCGUCAUGGGGAAUGCUCCGCAAUGGGAUAGAUACCCAGUAGUCAUGGGAUUUCGC
rnacentral:rRNA from 1 species